UCCUUCUUCCAACUGUAGUCCAUGAAGUCCUUUCUGUGGAGGUUUCGAAGGCGAGUAACCUCCAUGAUGGCUUUCGAAUGGCUCUUCCUUAGCUUGUGAAGUUCAUCAUCCAUCUUCUUUAAUUUUUUCGUUAGGUGACGAACUUUUCUUCUCAGAUCAUAGAUCAUAGACUUCAAAGGAAUCCCUUAUGGUAGGAGAAGAGCUUCGGCAGGGCACUGUUGUCAGAAAACAAG
rnacentral:lncRNA from 1 species